rnacentral:rRNA from 1 species
UACAGAGGUCUCAAGCGUUGUUCGGAUUCAUUGGGCGUAAAGGGUGCGUAGGUGGCGGGGCCAGUCAGGUGUGAAAUCCCGGGGCUUAACCCUGGAACUGCAUUUGAUACUGCCCGCGCUGGAGUCCUGGAGAGGAGACUGGAAUUUACGGUGUAGCAGUGAAAUGCGUAGAUAUUGGGAGGAACACCAGUGGCGAAGGCGGCUCACUGGACCGGAACUGACGCUGAGGCGCGAAAGCGUGGGGAGCAAACGGGAUUAGAAACCCCUGUAGU